AUGCAGCGCGCCCCGCCAGUCUCCGCCCCACCCGCCCUGGAGUCCGCGGGAACAAGAAAAUUCCCUAAAAAGGGCCCGGGCGCGCCCGCCGGCGGGGGGAGGAGGCGGUCGAGGGCCCCGGGCGUCCGACUCGUGCGGCCGGCCCCCGGCCCCGGCCCGCCCGCCGCCUCUGCGCCCCCGCGCCGAGCCCCUACCUGCAGCGCCCUGCGCCCCCGCAGCCUCGAUCGCUCGGCUCCGGCGAGACAGCACCGGGGGCGUGGGAGCGAGCCGCGCCGGCCGGGGUGGGGCUGCGCCGCCGGGGCUCCCGCGGGACCGCCAGGCCCUGGGAGCCGGGAACGAGGAAGCGUCGGGCGGCGGAAGUGGGGGAGGGGCGGCGACGGGCACCCGCGCCCGCCUCCCUCCCGGCCGCCUCGGGGAGCCCCUUCGGGCGCGGCCGCUCGCACUUGCAGGCCGGGCGAAAAGUUCCCGGCGCGCAUCCUCGCUCCGCAGCUGGCCGCGCUCGUCCCUCCGCCAGCCGCCGGGGCGCUCGGCUCCGCACGCUCACAUCCACUUGCUGCGCCGCCCUGGGCGCCGCAGCCCGGCUGGGGGGACACACGCGGGCUCUGGACCCAGGCGCACUUGCUGCUCGCGACUCCCGGGCAGCCCCGGCGCAACGCACCCGCACCCGCACCCGCACCCGCACCCUGGGCGAGCAGGCGCAGGCGGGGAAGGGAACCGGCCAGGGCGAGGAGGGCACUGACCCGCUGCCGCGCAUCAGGGCAGGUGCGCCGCGGCCGAGGGCCCCCUGACCCCGGCACUCACCCGGCAGCCCGGGUUUCUGGCUCCGGGACCGGACUGAGCCACCGCCCAGCCUUCCAGCGCACUGGGCGGGGUGGGCGCCGGGACGGGGCGGGGCGGGGCCGCAGGGGUGGGCCUCUGCGCCGCGCCCCGAGACGCCGGCGGGGAGCCAAGUUCUCCAGGGCGCGAACAGGGGCGCUGCGCGUCCAGGUUGGCUGGGGUGGAGGGGCGAGGCUCAAACUGCCGGCGGACAGAGGAAACUCUUGCCCCACUCGCCGCGCCUCCUGCUCAGACCAGCGCCAGAAGUGUCCAAUCUGGCAGCUCCUGGACUGA
rnacentral:lncRNA from 1 species